rnacentral:rRNA from 1 species
GACGAACGCUGGCGGCGUGCUUAACACAUGCAAGUCGAACGGAAAGGCCCUGCUUUUGUGGGGUGCUCGAGUGGCGAACGGGUGAGUAACACGUGAGUAACCUGCCCUUGACUUUGGGAUAACUUAGGGAAACUGGGGCUAUUACCGGAUAGGAGCUCCUGCUGCAUGGGGGGGGUUGGAAGGUUUCGGCGGUUGGGGAUGGACUCGCGGCUUAUCAGCUUGUUGGUGGGGUAGUGGCUUACCAAGGCUUUGACGGGUAGCCGGCCUGAGAGGGUGACCGGCCACAUUGGGACUGAGAUACGGCCCAGACUCCUACGGGAGGCAGCAGUGGGGAAUAUUGCACAAUGGGCGGAAGCCUGAUGCAGCAACGCCGCGUGCGGGAUGACGGCCUUCGGGUUGUAAACCGCUUUCGCCUGUGACGAAGCGUGAGUGACGGUAAUGGGUAAAGAAGCACCGGCUAACUACGUG